rnacentral:rRNA from 1 species
GAUGAACGUUGGAGGUGUGCCUAAUACAUGCAAGUCGAACGAAGAUGAUAGCAAUAUUGUCUUAGUGGCGAACGGGUGAGUAACGCGUUGGUGACCUGCCCCGAAGUGUGGAAUAACAAUUCGAAAGAAUUGCUAAUACCGCAUGUGACCUUGGAGAUUAGAACCUCUUUGAUUAAAGGAUUUAUUCGCUUCGGGAGGGGCCUGCGUCCCAUCAGCUAGUUGGUAGGGUAAUGGCCUACCAAGGCUUUGACGGGUAGGGGACCUGAGAGGGUGGCCCCCCACAAUGGAGCUGAAACACGGUCCAUACACCUACGGGUGGCAGCAGUAGGGAAUAUUAGACAAUGGGCGAAAGCCUGAUCCAGCAACGCCGCGUGCACGAUGACGGCCUUCGGGUUGUAAAGUGCUUUUAAGGGAGAUGAGAAAGGACAGUAUCCCUUGAAUAAGCCUCGGCGAACUACGU